CUUGUGGAACUCCAUGACUAACUGUAGUAUUUAUUGAAGAUUCAUCGUUAACAUGUACAAACUGCGAACAAUCUGAUAAGUAUGACUUAAACCAGCUUAGUGCGGUUCCUUUAAUGCCAAUUUGAUGCUCAAGUCUCUGUAAAAGAAUAUUAUGGUCAAUGGUGUCAAAUGCAGCACUAAGAUCUAAUAAUACAAGUACAGAGACAAGUCCAUUGUCGGAAGCAAUCAAAAGGUCAUUAUUAACUUUAACCAGAGAUGUCUCUGUGCUGUGAUGAACUCUAAAUCCUGACUGAAAAUCCUCAAAUAAACUAUUGUUAUUUAGAAAGUCACACAACUCUUUGACAACUACUUUCUCCAGAAUCUUAGAGAGGAAGGAGAGGUUAGAAAUCGGUCUAUAGUUGGCUAAAACCCCUGGGUCAAGAGUGGGCUUUUUAAGAAGGGGUUUAAUUACAGCUACUUUAAAGGACUGUGGUACAUAUCCUGAUAAUAAAGAAAGAUUAAUCAUAUCCAGUAAAGAAGUGCCAAUUAAGGGAACAACUUCUUUAAGCAGCCUAGUUGGGAUCGGGUCUAACAGACAGGUUGAGGGCUUCGAUGAAGAAAUGAUUGAAGUUAACUGAUGAAGAUCGAUAGCAGAAAAACAGUCUAAAUAUAUAUCUAAGUUUACAUUGGCAGAAGUCCCUGAACUUGGAGAGCCACUGAUAACUGUUGAUGGCAGUUGGUGAUUAAUUUU